ensembl:ncRNA T25F10.8 ncRNA
UGACCAAAUCCGAUAAUAAACCGAAAUCAUCGGUGCGAUGCCCCCGUUGCUAAGCCCCGUAUAUGAUGCUUCAAAAUCGCCUUUUCGUGCUUCUUCAGAACUCGUUGUCCUUUCUUGAUGAUUCCUCCGCCGUCUGCCAUCUCCGU